rnacentral:rRNA from 1 species
UUUAUGGAGAGUUUGAUCCUGGCUCAGGAUGAACGCUGGCGGCGUGCCUAAUACAUGCAAGUCGAGCGAACAGAUAAGGAGCUUGCUCCUUUGACGUUAGCGGCGGACGGGUGAGUAACACGUGGGUAACCUACCUAUAAGACUGGAAUAACUCCGGGAAACCGGGGCUAAUGCCGGAUAACAUGUUGAACCGCAUGGUUCUACAGUGAAAGACGGUCUUACUGUCACUUAUAGAUGGACCCGCGCCGUAUUAGCUAGUUGGUGGGGUAACGGCCUACCAAGGCGACGAUACGUAGCCGACCUGAGAGGGUGAUCGGCCACACUGGAACUGAGACACGGUCCAGACUCCUA